rnacentral:rRNA from 1 species
UUACCGUUGACCUCGGAUCAGGUAGGAGUACCCGCUGAACUUAAGCAUAUCAAUAAGCGGAGGA